rnacentral:rRNA from 1 species
UACGUAGGGUGCAAGCGUUGUCCGGAAUUAUUGGGCGUAAAGAGCUCGUAGGCGGUUCGUCGCGUCGGCUGUGAAAUCCCGAGGCUCAACCUCGGGUCUGCAGUCGAUACGGGCGGACUGGAGUUCGGCAGGGGAGACGUGGAAUUCCUGGUGUAGCGGUGAAAUGCGUAGAGAUCAGGAGGAACACCCAUGGCGAAGGCAGCACUCUGGACCGGACCUGACGCUGAGACGCGAAAGCGUGGGGAGCGAACAGG